rnacentral:rRNA from 1 species
UACGGAGGGGGCUAGCGUUGUUCGGAAUUACUGGGCGUAAAGCGCACGUAGGCGGCUUUGUAAGUUAGAGGUGAAAGCCCGGGGCUCAACUCCGGAACUUGCCUGUAAGACUGCAUCGCUAGAAUUGUGGAGAGGUAAGUGGAAUUCCGAGUGUAGAGGUGAAAUUCGUAGAUAUUCGGAAGAACACCGGUGGCGAAGGCGGCGACCUGGUCCAUUACUGACGCUGAGGCGCGACAGCGUGGGGAGCAAACAGGAUUGAGAU